rnacentral:rRNA from 1 species
UACGUAGGGUGCAAGCGUUGUCCGGAAUUAUUGGGCGUAAAGAGCUCGUAGGCGGUCUGUCGCGUCGGAUGUGAAAUCCCAGGGCUCAACCCUGGGCCUGCAUUCGAUACGGGCAGACUAGAGUUCGGUAGGGGAGACUGGAAUUUACGGUGUAGCGGUGAAAUGCGUAGAUAUCGUAAGGAAGACCAGUGGCGAAGGCGGGUCUCUGGACAGUUCCUGACGCUGAGGCACGAAGGUCAGGGGAGCAAACGGG